rnacentral:rRNA from 1 species
ACGAAUGCUGGCGGCGUGCUUAACACAUGCAAGUCGAACGGAAAGGCCCUGCUUUUGUGGGGUGCUCGAGUGGCGAACGGGUGAGUAACACGUGAGUAACCUGCUCUUGACUUUGGGAUAACUUCAGGAAACUGGGGCUAAUACCGGAUCGGAGCUCCUGCUGCAUGGUGGGGGUUGGAAAGUUUCGGCGGUUGGGGAUGGACUCGCGGCUUAUCAGCUUGUUGGUGGGGUAGUGGCUUACCAAGGCUUUGACGGGUAGCCGGCCUGAGAGGGUGACCGGCCACAUUGGGACUGAGAUACGGCCCAGACUCCUACGGGAGGCAGCAGUGGGGAAUAUUGCACAAUGGGCGGAAGCCUGAUGCAGCAACGCCGCGUGCGGGAUGACGGCCUUCGGGUUGUAAACCGCUUUCGCCUGUGACGAAGCGUGAGUGACGGUAAUGGGUAAAGAAGCACCGGCUAACUACGUG